rnacentral:rRNA from 1 species
GACGUACGCUGGCGGCGUGCUUAACACAUGCAAGUCGAACGGUGAAGCGCCUUCCUUUUUGGUGGGUGUGGAUGAGUGGCGAACGGGUGAGUAACACGUGAGUAACCUGCCCCCUUCUUCUGGAUAACCGCAUGAAAGUGUGGCUAAUACGGGAUAUUCUGGGUCUGUCGCAUGAUGGGUCUGGGAAAGAUAUUGUUUCGGUGGGGGAUGGGCUCGCGGCCUAUCAGCUUGUUGGUGGGGUGAUGGCCUACCAAGGCGGUGACGGGUAGCCGGCCUGAGAGGGUGGACGGUCACACUGGGACUGAGACACGGCCCAGACUCCUACGGGAGGCAGCAGUGGGGAAUAUUGCACAAUGGGCGCAAGGCUGAUGCAGCGCCGCCGCGUGAGGGAUGGAGGCCUUCGGGUUGUGAACCUCUUUCGCCAGUGAAGCAGGCCUGCCUCGUUUGUGGGUGGGUUGACGGUAGCUGGAUAAGAAGCGCCGGCUAACUACGUG